AUGAACGCUAGCGGCAGGCCUAAUACAUGCAAGUCGAACGGGUGGUCGCAAGACCACUAGUGGCGCACGGGUGCGUAACGCGUAACCAACCUGCCCCGAUCUGGGGGAUAGCCCGCCGAAAGGCGGAUUAAUACCGCAUAUACCCGCAGCCUGGCAUCAGGCAACGGGGAAAGAUUUAUUGGAUCGGGAUGGGGUUGCGUGACAUUAGCUAGUUGGCGGGGUAAGGGCCCACCAAGGCGACGAUGUCUAGGGGACCUGAGAGGGUGAUCCCCCACACUGGCACUGAGAUACGGGCCAGACUCCUACGGGAGGCAGCAGUAGGGAAUAUUGGGCAAUGGGCGAGAGCCUGACCCAGCCAUGCCGCGUGCCGGAUGAAGGCCUUCUGGGGUGUAAACGGCUUUUCUCAGGGAAGAAAAAGACCUUGCGAGGUACACUGACGGUACCUGAGGAAUAAGCACCGGCUAACUCCGUG
rnacentral:rRNA from 1 species